GACGUCGAUAUUCGACGUCAUAAACACGAUCAACUUUGGUGUUUAUGACGUCGAUAUUCGACGUCAUAAACACGAUCAACUUUGGUGUUUAUUACGUCGAUAUUCGACGUCAUAAACACGAUCAACUUUGGUGUUUAUGACGUCGAUAUUCGACGUCAUAAACACGAUCAACUUUGGUGUUUAUGACGUCGAUAUUCGACGUCAUAAACACGAUCAAGUUUGGUGUUUAUGACGUCGAUAUUCGACGUC